rnacentral:lncRNA from 10 species
CUGGGAUGCAAAUAGAGCACCCUGGCUCCUACUAGGCAUCACAUAUUAAUCAUCUUUCAAAUUAAGAGUCAUUGCUUAGCAUCACCAAUAUAUGGGAAAAAGGAGCUAAGAAGCAUCACUGAAUGCAUCCCAAAGUCCUGGCAUUGUUCCCUGAAGCACUUUUCAGUUAUGCCGUUUCAUUUCAUAACAUCCCUACAAAGUAGGCUUUACCACCUUUAUUUUAAAGACGAAGAAUUCAAUGUGACAGUGAGCUACUUAGAUGCACACGAUCCAGUACACAGCUUACUCUGCUUGCCAGAGAUUCUAUAAUGCUAUUCAGCAGCAAGAAAAAGCAAACCUAGCAUUAUACCAAGUGCCUGUGAUGGUGUCCAGUAUCUGAAAUUCUUGUACACUGCUGGUGGGGGUGGAAAUUGGUACAACCACUUUGGAUAACAGUUUGCGCAAUUAAAUAAAAUUGGAGAUUCAGUAUUUUGUGACUUACAAUUCCACCCCUAGAUGUGUUACCUAGAAACUCCUGCACCUACCUAUACAGCAGGAAACCUGUAUAACAAUGCUUUCAGAGCAGCACUCUAUUGAUAAAAGCAGGAACCACACAAAAGACAGAGAAAGUGAUGAAUUAUUGAUGUAACCAUGCAAUGAAAUGCUAAGACAACAGUAAAAAUGUAUUAGCACUUCAUAUAUAAGAAUAAAUGAAUCACGGUGGGGGGAACAAAUCACCAAAGAACACAUAUAUUAUGAUGUCAUACAAAGUUAAAAAUUAUGCAAAAUUAUUUGUAAAUGCUAAAGAAGAGGAAGAGAAUGCUAAACACAAAAUUCACAAUAGUA